rnacentral:rRNA from 1 species
AACGCGAAGAACCUUACCAGCCCUUGACAUCCCGGUCGCGGACACCAGAGAUGGAGUCUUUCAGUUCGGCUGGACCGGAGACAGGUGCUGCAUGGCUGUCGUCAGCUCGUGUCGUGAGAUGUUGGGUUAAGUCCCGCAACGAGCGCAACCCUCGCCCUUAGUUGCCAUCAUUUAGUUGGGCACUCUAAGGGGACUGCCGGUGAUAAGCCGCGAGGAAGGUGGGGAUGACGUCAAGUCCUCAUGGCCCUUACGGGCUGGGCUACACACGUGCUACAAUGGCGGUGACAGUGGGAUGCAAUGGAGUGAUCCUGCGCAAAUCUCAAAAAGCCGUCUCAGUUCGGAUUGUGCUCUGCAACUCGAGCACAUGAAGUUGGAAUCGCUAGUAAUCGCAGAUCAGCACGCUGCGGUGAAUACGUUCCCGGGCCUUGUA